rnacentral:miRNA from 1 species
UAGGGUGACCAACUGUCAUUGGUUUGCCUGGGGCGGAGGGUGUUGCAGGCCUUGAGGAAUUAUCAGUGCCUAAUCCUAGAACAGUCCCAGGCUGACCAGGACAGUUGGUCACCCUACCGAACA